rnacentral:rRNA from 1 species
AGUUGCCAGCGGUUCGGCCGGGGACUCUAGGAAAACUGCCCGCGCAAGCGGUGAGGAAGGUGGGGAUGACGUCAAAUCAUCACGGCCCUUACGUCCAGGGCCACACACGUGCUACAAUGGUAGUGACAAAGGGCAGCUACACAGCGAUGUGAUGCUAAUCUCUAAACACUAUCUCAGUUCGGAUUGGAGUCUGCAACUCGACUCCAUGAAGCUGGAAUCGCUAGUAAUCGCGCAUCAGCCAUGGCGCGGUGAAUACGUUCCCGGGCCUUGUACACACCGCCCGUCAAGCCAUGGAAGCUGGGGGUGCCUAGAGUCUGUCCCGAACGGAA